rnacentral:rRNA from 1 species
UACGAAGGGGGCUAGCGUUGCUCGGAAUCACUGGGCGUAAAGGGUGCGUAGGCGGGUCUUUAAGUCAGGGGUGAAAUCCUGGAGCUCAACUCCAGAACUGCCUUUGAUACUGAAGAUCUUGAGUCCGGGAGAGGUGAGUGGAACUGCGAGUGUAGAGGUGAAAUUCGUAGAUAUUCGCAAGAACACCAGUGGCGAAGGCGGCUCACUGGCCCGGUACUGACGCUGAGGCACGAAAGCGUGGGUAGCAAACAGG